UUAACAACAAAACAAGAAGAACAGAAUACAGUUUGUAACUGGUACAGAUAGCGAUCGUACGCGUUGUGGUGUUACCAUGGAAACCAAAGUAGUGCUAAUACGAAAGCGGCAAGAGGAUGAUGAAUAUUGAACAUCAUCAAUCUGUCUUUAUUUUCAGGAAUUUUCAUUGUAUGUGACACGCUGUAUGUUAUUUUAGCGUCUUUGGAAGACUUGCGGAAGUAAGACCUCGUGGCGCAACGGUAGCGCGUCUGACUCCAGGUCAGAAGGCUGCGUGUUCAAAUCACGUCGAGGUCACUUUAGGUGUUAGGUAUUAACCGGAAGUCGCCGCUGUCAGCCACACUGUACGUCACUUUACGCGCCGGAAGUUCUGUCUGAAGCGUGUCUAUUUCUGCCAUAUAGUAAUACUCGCGCUUUUAGUUGCUGUGAGGUAGCUGCCUUUGUUUUAACUAAAUAAUUGUACAGAAUAGUUUACUUUUACACGUCAUGACUGUGUGGUAUUGGUUGGUGACAUCACUAAUAGUCCUGGUAAACAGAGCCGCUGCAGACGAAACAGUGGAAGGAUACACAGGA